GCUAACGCUGGCGGCGUGUCUUAGCCAUGCAAGUCGAGCGGACUUAUGGGGUAACUUAUAAGUCAGCGGCGGACGGCGGAGUAACACGUAGCUAACCUACCCUCUGGACGGGGAUAACCUACCGAAAGGUGGGCUAAUACCCGAUGUAGUCAUCCUGUAUAGGGGUGAUGAAAGGUGGGCUUCUGUUUACAAGCUCAUGCUGGAGGAGGGGGCUGCGGCCUAUCAGGUAGUUGGUAGGGUAAUAGCCUACCAAGCCGAUGACGGGUAGCCGGCCUGAGAGGGUGACCGGCCCGAGGGGCACUGAGAUACGGUCCAGACUCCUACGGGAGGCAGCAGUGGGGAAUUUUGGACAAUGGGCGCAAGCCUGAUCCAGCAAUGCCGCGUGCAGGAUGAAGGCCUUCGGGUUGUAAACUGCCUUUGUACGGAACGAAAAGGCUCUGGUUAAUACCUGGGGCUCAUGACGGUACCGUAAGAAUAAGCACCGGCUAACUACGUG
rnacentral:rRNA from 1 species